rnacentral:lncRNA from 1 species
CGGACCACUGGGCUCAGCUCUCUGGAGAAUGAGAAGUCAGACCAGCCCUGGAUGGAACCCACCUUGCCCUGGAUUCUCCUUACAAACCCUGGGGUUGCCCUGGAAAAACCAAGCUUGGGGUUUGGAGCCCAGGUCCUGUGCUCCACCGAAAAGAGAAUUUCUGCAGAAAAAAUGAGUUGAUUUUUUUUUUGUUGUUUUUCUUUUCAUGGCUGUGCCUGCGGCAUAUGGAUGUUCCAGUGCUAGGGGCUGAAUCAGAGCUGCAGUUGCCCGCCUGGGCCACAACCACAGCGACGCCAGCUCCGAGCCACGCCCGCAACCUCCGCUGGAGCUCACCGCAACGUCGGAUCCUUAACCCACUGAGCGAGGCCAGGUCAAACCCGCAUCCUCACGGACACUGUCGGUUUCUUAACCUGCUGAGCCACAGCGAGAACUUUUUUUUUUUUUUUUUCUUAUGCAGAAAGAACAAAUGUUCACUUAAAGAAAACAUGCAAACUUCCUGUAAUAAUUUUGGCGAAAUGGGACUUGAGAGAAGACAGCCAAGGACCCCCAGGAACAUCUUCCUGGCUCUAAAGGGGCCGAAGCGGGAGUUUCCACUGUGGCUCAGCAGGUUAAGCCCCCGACAUGGUCUCUGUGAAGAUGCGGCUUUGAUCCCUGGCCUCUCUCAGUGGGAUAGGGCUCUGGCAUUGCCGUAAGGCGCAGCAUAGGUCACAGAUGCGUCUCAGACCCUGCGUUGCUGUGACUGUGGCGGAGGCCUCAGCUGCAGCUCUGAUUCGACCCCUAGCCUGGGAACUUCCAUACGCCGUAGAUGUGGCCAUAAAAAGGGGUGGAAGGUUGGUGGGUCAGGAUGUGAUGUCCAGAGCUGUGGCAAUCAUUUUGCAGCCACGAGAGCCAAUUCUGGGGACUGAGGCCAAGCGAGGAUGGCAGAGCAGAGAGGGGGAGGGCUCCCAAGGCCUGCGACGUCAUGUAAUCCCUGGGCACGGCCUGAACGUCCUGUCACGUGGCAUAAUAUCUUUAAAACUGUUUCACGUGGAACAUGAAACAUCCUGUUUUAGGCUACGCAUGUCUUUGUAUAUGAAAAUUUCCCUGAUUUAUCUAUUUAUUUUGCUUUUUAGGGCCACGGGUGCAGCAUAUGGAGGUUCCCAGGGUAGGGGUCCAAUUGGAGCUACAGCUGCCUACACCACAGCCACAGCAACUUGGGAUCUGAGCCCCAUCUGCGGCCUACGGCACAGCUCAUGGCCACGCCAGAUCCUUAACCCACAGAGCAAGGCCAGGGAUCAAACCCACAACCUCAUGGUUCCUAGUCGGAUUCAUUUCCUCUGUACCACAAUGGGAACUCCUUAAAAUUUCCCUUAUUAACCUUAAUAUGGGGCCACAAGAUUGCUCCUUGGGCAGAGGAGAGGCUGGGAAAAGGCAGUUUUAGGAGAAAUGACAGACUGAGGACUCGGGGAGGCUGCGCCGGUUCUGAACCCCAGGGUGCAGGUGCCCUUUGAGGGUGUCUCCUUAUCACCCAGGGGCAGUGAUGGUGGGCGUCGCGGCCGCUCUCCCACUGCAGGGCACCGGGCACCCAGAGUUCCUCCCAUGCUUCCUGCAUGAGCUGUGCGAGCCCCGAGUUGGUUAGCGUGAGGCCUGUGGGGUCAGCGCUCCGGCCACGGGCUCUUUCCCACAGAACUCUCUCUGAGAAGGGUCUGAGUAAGCACAGCUAUUUUUAUGUCUUCAGUCAUCCGAGGCGCUGUCCUCAUUUGUAAGACAGAGUUUACGCUCCUUAGAAACCCGAGCCUGCCCAGGAGCCCCUCGGGAACUGCCAGGCUAGUGUGCCACCAGCCCUCUGUCCCCGUCCCCCUGGCCUGGGUGGGCCAGCCAGGAGGCCCAGCGCCCGUUCCAGGCGGCCGCCUUCCAGAUGCUUCCUGGGCAACCAGCUGCCUCCUCCCUCAGCUCCCUCUUGGCCCAGCCCCCGGUGACUAGGGGACGGUGGGGGUUUGUGGCAGGUGCAUGAGGGCCCUAGACUUCAUCACAGUGCUAUUUGCUGCCCACAGAAUGUUCCCUGGAGGGGCUCUCCGGGUCUGCUGGAUGUGACUCCGUGGGCUGUAGGCAAAGCUGGCCCUCCUUUGAUCCCACCCGUUGCCCGAGGCCGUCCUGGAGUCUCUGCCAUCACGUACCUGGCCCCAGGUCAGCCUGGAAAGGCGCCUCCCUCCCCAUGAGAGAUGAGAAAACAGGGGAUCUGCUGCUGAACCUCUGACCUGGGUCCCCCAGCAGGUCCUGGGAUCUGCCACCUGUCCUUCUAGGGGUGGACAGUGUGACAUAGGACCUCCAGAGAUCUGGAACCAGACCCGUGUGGCCCCUCUGUCAUUCGUUCAUUCAGCAGUGGGCGCUCCUUCGGGCCAGGCAGCCAUCAGAGCAGGGGGCGACCUGGAGAGCUUGGCCAAAGCGUCCUGGCUUUUCUUUCUUCAGUUUACAAGACCCUGGGACUUUGCCGAAACCGCUGUCUU